UGGAGAGCUAUGACCCACGUUUGAUAUACCCAGCCCGAUAAAAAACCUAGAAUGCCGAAAGCGUCAAUCUAUCUGUCUCGCGAGACCUAGCUGCGGGGUGCGGGUGGCGGUGAGCUAAGGACGGGCCAGCGGUGAGUUGUAGGCGGGCAGGCCGACGAUGAGGUGCAGGCGGGCAUGCAGGCCGGCGAUGAGCUGCGGGCGAGCGGGCUCCCAGUGAGGACGACUUCGGGCGUGAUGCUGGCGAGGACGAGGGCAGGCGCCCGACCGUCGCGCGGAGUAGUGCGUGCGCCCUACCGCUGGUGAGGAGUGCGGGCGAGCUGCCGUCGAGAAGGUGUGCGGGCGGUCUGCUGACGAAAAGGAAGUGCUCAUCAGCUGGUAAGCAGUGUUUGGGUCAUCUAACAAUUGUCAAUGCCAUUGUUUAGGUUCGUACUGAUAAUUAUUUAACCUCGUACAAUCCACCUCUAGCGGGGCGUCACAUAUGUCUGUGCCAGAGCCAUACUCAGCGCUAAAGAACAGUUUGUUCGUGUACCACUUGGGAAUCAUGUGCGGCUAACUAACAUAAGUGUUUAGUAGCUCUCUGUAUGAACUCUAUUACAGUUUGUUGCAAAUCAAAGUAGAAGUCUCCAAAUUUUGAUACAUAUAAUAGCAGCAAAUGUAGAUGGUAUCUUCAAUUCAAAAUAUGCACUACUUUAGUCUGUUACAGACACAGGAAACACAAUUUGUUCAGUAGAAAAACAAGUUUAGAACAGAUUAUGCAUAAACAUGAGACUACAUUAGCUUUAGCAAAUCACCACAUGGGCCAAUUAAGAUAUUCACAGUUACACACGCGUUGCUCAACUUAUGCAGAAAAUUGUCUUCAAGUCCUAGCUUAUAUUAUUUACAGGUUGAGAAAAUGAGAUAUAAUUCCCUUUUAAGAUAAAUGGGAUGUAAACUUAUGCUUGAAAGGUUUGGUUUGUAUACAAAUAGUUCAUACUUGUCACUAAAUGUACUUGGUAUUGGAGAACAAUAUAAGUGUUGAACGUUGGGUGCUAUAGCGAUAAAGGGCCAUUUGAUUUUUGUGCAAUUCAGCCUCAUUUGAAUGAUGCUUUUAAUUUUUGUGCAAGCUUUGCUGUUGAUGGGGUAUUGUGUUCCUUGUCAACAUCUCACCGAUAUUCUCAUGUUCUUCAUUGUGUUUAUAUUCAUAAUAACUGUCUUAAACUUGUUUAUCUUAUGUCUGUGUUACUCUUCCCUUGUUUGCCUUUUGCUGAUCUUUAUACAGUUGCUUGGGCUAUUUCCUUGCAUUACAUUCUAUAGCGACAUUAGCUAAAACAAUAUUACCUAAAGACUAAUACUAUAAAAGAAUUGGUAGAAGUACCUUCUUAGUUCAGUGUAGCCCAUGUGUUCUCAACUCUUAAAAAAACAGGAGUCUCAUUCCCUGGAGAAUGGAGACCAUGUAUUUGCUCUAGACAUCACUGGAGGGGGAGCAUCUCUGCAACGUGCCUGUUUUAGUCUUCUUAAUCAUCUCAUUUUUCUUAAGUACAUAAAUAUCUGUUGCUACCCAAUGUGAGUCCCAUUCCCUGAGACGAUUGCCUCCACAUAUCAGAAAUGCAGAGUUGGACAUAGGAAGCUCAAAAGCACUGCUCACAUUGAAUAUUGGGCAACGGGAUGUGCAAAGGGUAUAUAAAUUUUAGGAUUGAGCAUUCUAACCAACAAAUCAGCUGCCUAUCGGUGCUCCACCAGGUUGUGUUAAAUGUGUUCGUGGUAAAGAUGGAAUUUGAUGUUGCAUAAUUACUUAUGAGUCUUUAUAUACAUACUAUGGUUACACAAUAUAUCUGUUCAAUAUGACCUUGUGUGGAAACUAAAGAACAUAAUCUGUUGGGAGCUUAUAUUAUUUGGUGGGAGCCACAUGUGCACUCGCCUAUAGGGUGUUCUGAACUAUCAGUUUGUGGUUGUGGUUGGGAUUUAGCCAUUUAGGUGGUGCUCUAAAAUUUACAAGUCUGCCUGAUGAUUCAUAUUGUUUGGUUCAUGGUAGUUUUUGGUGGAGAGUUUGUUAAGGCUUCAUGGUUCAUGGUAGUAUAUGGUGGAGAUUUCGUCAUGUGUGGUGCUCUAUAUGUGAAUCGCAGAGGUCUAUAAAUUAAGGCAACAUGCAGGUACAUUUGAAAUGCAGCAGUAGUGAGUUCCUAUAGAAAAUAAAAAAUGAAAUAAAAGGUCAUAAUGGUCGGAAGUUGUUCACUACAUUAGAACCAUCUAGAAGGGAAAAAAGCUCCCGAGGUCAGGUGUUUCUUAGGAGUUCAAUAUGUUUCAUGUGUGUUUUUGCAAAUCUUUUUUCUUCACUGAUCCUGCACGCUUGAUCAAAAGGAUCUGGUGUCUAUGCCAGGUUGGUAAACCAUAUAGAUCUUGCUCAAACAAGGAGUAGGGCUAGCUUGUAAGCGUUUAUUUCUGGAAAUAUAAAUAGUAGUAAAUUUUGAAGUUCCAUCUGAUUUAGUUAGUUGGAGCAUUCUUUUAUUUUGGGUUGCCCUGUUUCCAUUUUGUUGGAGCAUGUUUUCAUGUUCUAUUUCUUUGUAAUCAUGUGCAUUCGGUACAUAAAUUUAUGCAUUAAUAGACCUUUAUUGCACUUUCAGUUUGUAUUUUCUGUUGGGAGUUUAUAAACCUACUGAUACAAUAAUUGACAAAUUAUAGAAAUAUGCUGCAGGAAGAGGUGCUGAAAGCAAGGAUUUGAGUGCUUGAAGUGCGUGAAAAAAUAUUACUCGCAUGUAUGCUAGCCGUUGGCGUAACACCCAGCUGAUGGAGAGAUUUUAGUUUGCUAGAUGAAUCUUUAGACUUUUGCAUGUAAUAGAACUGAAAGAUCACUUCAGAAUUUAGGAAACAUGUAUGCUAUUAUAUUUUAUAUGUUCAUCACACAAAUCGUGUUCCAAACAAAUAUAUGUUGGAAUCCAAAGUCAAAGAUUGAUAUCUCUCUUUUAGUAAUCAAUUUUCAUAUAUUCUGAG
rnacentral:lncRNA from 1 species